UUCCCUCAGUAGCGGCGAGCGAACAGGGAAGAGCCCAGCACCGAAUCUCGCGGGCGUCCGUCCGCCGAGAAAUGUGGUGUUUGGGAGGGUCCGUUAUCCCGGGGCCGUUGCGGCGAGUCCAAGUCCAUCUUGAAUGGGGCCACGGCCCGCAGAGGGUGCCAGGCCCGUAGGACCGCCGCUGACUCCGGGAGGACCUCUCCUUAGAGUCGGGUUGC
rnacentral:rRNA from 1 species